rnacentral:rRNA from 1 species
CCUACGGGAGGCAGCAGUGAGGAAUAUUGGUCAAUGGGCGCGAGCCUGAACCAGCCAAGUAGCGUGAAGGAUGACUGUCCUCUGGGUUGUAAACUUCUUUUAUAUGGGAAUAAAAUGUUCCACGUGUGGGAUUUUGUAUGUACCAUAUGAAUAAGGAUCGGCUAACUCCGUGCCAGCAGCCGCGGUAAUACAGAGGCUUCGAGCGUUAUCCGGAUGUAUUGGGAUUAAAGGGAGCGUAGGUGGAUUGGUAAGUCAGUUGUGAAAGUUUGCGGCUCAACCGUAAAAUUGCAGUUGAAACUGGCAGUCUGGAGUACAGUAGAGGUGGGCGGAAUUCGUGGUGUAGCGGUGAAAUGCUUAGAUAUCACGAAGAACUCCGAUUGCGAAGGCAGCUCACUGGACUGCAACUGACACUGAGGCUCGAAAGUGUGGGUAUCAAACAGGAUUAGAUACCCCUGUAGUC